rnacentral:rRNA from 1 species
GAUGAACGCUGGCGGCGUGCUUAACACAUGCAAGUCGAACGAGAAGUGAAGACGGAACCCUUCGGGCGGAAGGCUUUAUUUCGAGUGGCGGACGGGUGAGUAACGCGUGGGUAACCUGCCGCAUACAGGGGGAUAACAGUUGGAAACGACUGUUAAUACCGCAUAAGACCACAGCACCGCAUGGUGCGGGGGUAAAAACUCCGGUGGUAUGAGAUGGACCCGCGUUCGAUUAGCCAGUUGGCGGGGUAACGGCCCACCAAAGCGACGAUCGAUAGCCGAGCUGAGAGGAUGACCGGCCACAUUGGGACUGAGACACGGCCCAGACUCCUACGGGAGGCAGCAGUGGGGAAUAUUGCACAAUGGGGGAAACCCUGAUGCAGCGACGCCGCGUGAGUGAAGAAGUAUUUCGGUAUGUAAAGCUCUAUCAGCAGGGAAGAAAAUGACGGUACCUGAGUAAGAAGCCCCGGCUAACUACGUG